AUUGAACGCUGGCGGCAGGCCUAACACAUGCAAGUCGAGCGGCAGCGGAAAGUAGCUUGCUACUUUGCCGGCGAGCGGCGGACGGGUGAGUAAUGUCUGGGAAACUGCCUGAUGGAGGGGGAUAACUACUGGAAACGGUAGCUAAUCCCGCAUAACGUCGCAAGACCAAAGAGGGGGACCUUCGGGCCUCUUGCCAUCAGAGGUGCCCAGAUGGGAUUAGCUAGUAGGUGGGGUAACGGCUCACCUAGGCGACGAUCCCUAGCUGGUCUGAGAGGAUGACCAGCCACACUGGAACUGAGACACGGUCCAGACUCCUACGGGAGGCAGCGGUGGGGAAUAUUGCACAAUGGGCGCAAGCCUGAUGCAGCCAUGCCGCGUGUAUGAAGAAGGCCUUCGGGUUGUAAAGUACUUUCAGCGGGGAGGAAGGUGUUGAGGUUAAUAACCUCAGCAAUUGACGUUACCCGCAGAAGAAGCACCGGCUAACUCCGUGCCAGCCGCCGCCGUAACAC
rnacentral:rRNA from 1 species